rnacentral:sRNA from 1 species
UUGAAAUGUAGUGUAGCAGGUUGUCUGUCUGAGAUCAUUGGGGAGUGAGUUCCAAAGAUUUAGUCCGUGCACAGAAAAAGCUCGCAGACCGUAGCUGUUAGGGUGAAACGUGGAACUACUAAAAGCAUUGAGCGCAAAGCUCUUUGAGGGACAUUAGUUAGUCCUCUUUGAAGAGAUUAGAGACAAGAUUAAUACAGAUAUUAGACCCCACGAUGACCUGCUAACUACUGUCAAAAUGACAUACUAAAACUCUAAGGCCAUAUAACAAGUUCAUCAGGGCUCUCAAAGACUUUCCUUUAGGGAACAGUAGCAAGAAAAGAAGAAGAGGCAGACAGAGAAAGCGAUAAGAAGACAACAAAUAAUGGAUGGAUUUGCCAUUGAAAGAGAUUCUAACCAAGAUCAAGUACAUAAAGAAAACUUGUCUAGCUGGUUUUAAUUUUGCUUACAUAGAAGGAGAUGACUUCCGAGAAAAUUGCGGAAGGGGUAAAUGGCCUCUACUGCGAGCAUUAAGCGAAGAGUGCAGCAAAACUUGAGAUUUAAAGAAUAAUAAUUGAUGAAAGGCC